rnacentral:rRNA from 1 species
AUGAGAGGGCUCCUCGGGCUCGGGAGGCAGCCGCCGCCGCUCCCUCUUUUCCCCGCCGGCAAGAGGGCCUCGCCGGCUGCCACCCUCCUCCUCCGCGUCCGCCGCCUCCUUCCGUCCAGCCGCCUCUUUCGUCUGCUCCUCCUCCUCGCCGCCCUCUCGCUCGUCCCUCCGGCCUUCUUCCACUUCCGCCUCCGCCGCUUCAACCGCAUGCGCGAGAGGAGUUGCGGGUGGAUCCCGAGCCCGCCGCUGGUGUGCGCGCACGGCGGCGACUCCACCAACGCGUUCCCAAACUCGAUGGACGCCUUCAGGAUGGCUCUGGAUGCCCGUGUAGACUGUGUGGAGGUGGAUGUUUCGAGGUCCUCGGAUGGCACCCUCUUAGCACUCCAUGACAGGGAUCUGCAAAGAAUGUCUGGUAAUUCUACAGCAAAAGUUGGCCACUGGAGCACUCAUGAGAUAAAAGCGGUGACCACGAGGUUUCAGCUAUCGAAAACAGUCCGAAACCAGGAAGUUCCCAAAGCAGAAGAUGCUCUAGAGUUGAUAUCACAGUCUGUAAGGCAAGUAAUUCUGGAUGUCAAAGUUGGUCCUCCUUCAUUUGAGAAAGGUUUGGCGGAAGAUGUAAUGUCUAUUAUCAGGAAAACAAACUGCAAAAAUUGUGUUAUCUGGGCAAAAAGUGACGACAUAGGAAGAGAUCUGAUCAAGUUGUCUAAAGAUGUUAUGGUUGGCUAUAUUGUUAUGAUGGAUUGGUCCACUGGCAGAAGAAUGGAGUUAGUGCGGAUUGAAGGGGCAAAAGUUGCUGGUGUAUACUAUCCUUUGAUCCACGAGAAGCUCAUGAAGGUCAUGCACAGAAAUGAUAGAAAAGUGUAUGCAUGGACUGUUGACGAUAGCGACUCCAUGAAGAGGAUGCUGUAUGAGCAGGUUGAUGCAAUUGUCACAAGCAACCCUUCACUGCUGCAGCAGCUGAUGCAGGAGAUCAGAACAGAGUGCAUGGAAGAUGGUUUUGCCUUGCCGUAG